rnacentral:rRNA from 1 species
UUUUCCUACGGGACGCAGCAGUGGGGAAUUUUGGACAAUGGGCGCAAGCCUGAUCCAGCUAUUCCGCGUGUGGGAUGACGGCCCUCGGGUUGUAAACCACUUUAGUAGAGAACGAAAAGGAGCUAUCGAAUAAAUAGCUCUGCUGACGGUACUCUAAGAAUAAGCACCGGCUAACUACGUGCCAGCAGCCGCGGUAAUACGGAGGAUGCGAGCGUUAUCCGGAUUUAUUGGGUUUAAAGGGUGCGUAGGCGGAAUGCCAAGUCAGCGGUAAAAUCGCGGGGCUCAACCUCGCUCCGCCGUUGAAA